rnacentral:rRNA from 1 species
GACGAACGCUGGCGGCGUGCUUAACACAUGCAAGUCGAACGGAAAGGCCCUGCUUUUGUGGGGUGCUCGAGUGGCGAACGGGUGAGUAACACGUGAGUAACCUGCCCUUGACUUUGGGAUAACUUCAGGAAACUGGGGCUAAUACCGGAUAGGAGCUCCUGCUGCAUGGUGGGGGUUGGAAAGUUUCGGCGGUUGGGGAUGGACUCGCGGCUUAUCAGCUUGUUGGUGGGGUAGUGGCUUACCAAGGCUUUGACGGGUAGCCGGCCUGAGAGGGUGACCGGCCACAUUGGGACUGAGAUACGGCCCAGACUCCUACGGGAGGCAGCAGUGGGGAAUAUUGCACAAUGGGCGGAAGCCUGAUGCAGCAACGCCGCGUGCGGGAUGACGGCCUUCGGGUUGUAAACCGCUUUCGCCUGUGACGAAGCGUGAGUGACGGUAAUGGGUAAAGAAGCACCGGCUAACUACGUGCCAGCAGCCGCGGUGAUACGUAGGGUGCGAGCGUUGUCCGGAUUUAUUGGGCGUAAAGGGCUCGUAGGUGGUUGAUCGCGUCGGAAGUGUAAUCUCGGGGCUUAACCCUGAGCGUGCUUUCGAUACGGGUUGACUUGAGGAAGGUAGGGGAGAAUGGAAUUCCUGGUGGAGCGGUGGAAUGCGCAGAUAUCAGGAGGAACACCAGUGGCGAAGGCGGUUCUCUGGGCCUUUCCUGACGCUGAGGAGCGAAAGCGUGGGGAGCGAACAGGCUUAGAUACCCUGGUAGUCCACGCUGUAAACGGUGGGUACUAGGUGUGGGGUCCAUUCCACGGGUUCCGUGCCGUAGCUAACGCUUUAAGUACCCCGCCUGGGGAGUACGGCCGCAAGGCUAAAACUCAAAGGAAUUGACGGGGCCCCGCACAAGCGGCGGAGCAUGCGGAUUAAUUCGAUGCAACGCGUAGAACCUUACCUGGGUUUGACAUGGAUCGGGAGUGCUCAGAGAUGGGUGUGCCUCUUUUGGGGUCGGUUCACAGGUGGUGCAUGGCUGUCGUCAGCUCGUGUCGUGAGAUGUUGGGUUAAGUCCCGCAACGAGCGCAACCCUUGUUCACUGUUGCCAGCACGUUAUGGUGGGGACUCAGUGGAGACCGCCGGGGUCAACUCGGAGGAAGGUGGGGAUGACGUCAAGUCAUCAUGCUCCUUAUGUCCAGGGCUUCACGCAUGCUACAAUGGCUGGUACAGAGAGUGGCGAGCCUGUGAGGGUGAGCGAAUCUCGGAAAGCCGGUCUCAGUUCGGAUUGGGGUCUGCAACUCGACCUCAUGAAGUCGGAGUCGCUAGUAAUCGCAGAUCAGCAACGCUGCGGUGAAUACGUUCCCGGG